GCGUCGGUGGUCUAACGGCAUGACCUAAGCCUUCCAAGCUUAUGGUCCGGGUUCAAUUCCCGGCCGACGCA
rnacentral:tRNA from 1 species